rnacentral:lncRNA from 1 species
UUUCAUUCAGGUUCAGGGUAUCUAAGCACUCAGUGUUUGGCUGUCCUAUUGCAGAUUAACAGUUUUUGCUUUCCUGUCUAGUAGAAGAACUAACCUCAUAAGUCUACAGCUAUAAUGGGGAGUUCGAAGAGUAAAUCUGUUACGACUGACCACUACGUGAGUGAAGUGCGACAAGUUCGGACGGGGAUGACAGACCGUGACAGAAGGCUUUAUAAUUAUGCAAGAAUCAAAAUUGCAGAAGAAGAUUUGGAGGACGCCGAGAUAACUGUCGAUUUUCAGGACCAAGAGCCUAUUGUUAUUUCAGCAACAUAUAAUCCGUCCGCUAAAGUGUAUAUCGGACUUAAUUAUUACGGUUCUCCAGAACUUGUUUGGCAGAAACGAGGCUUUUGGAGGUCUGUGAAAAGGUUCUUCGUUGGCUGUUUCAAAACUUUAAAGAGGGUGUUGUUAAAUGCAUUAGCUAUUGGAGCCGCUACGGCAAUGAAAGCUAUUACAUACUUCUGAAAAUUUUUCCAGUUAUUUGCAUAAUGUAAAAUCAAAUAAAAUUCAAAUGUAUUUCUGAUCGAGUUUUUCAAUAAAAACAUUAAAAAUACUUUAUUCUCCUUGAACGAAAAUCCAGUGACACUUCGCAUUUAAGACAUUACAUGGAAAUUUAUUGAUGAAUAUAAUUAUUGAUCAUUCAAUUAAAAGAAAUCACAGGAAUUAUAGUCUUACCGAAAUUUUUAACGCUUUUACUUAUGAUCGAGACCAUAUGAUUUUUUAACACCUGCUAAACUGUGUAAAGAUAUCCCUUAAUACAUUUUACAACCUGUGACUAUUAUUAUCAAUGAAUAUAUUCAUAUAUAUUUUGUUUGUUUUUAAGGAACAAAUAUUAUUUAAAAAGAAACAACAGUGUGUUUAUAUAUAUCGAAUUUUGGUCAAAUACUGAUCCAGAGUUUAACUUGUUUCCAUGAUGUGACGAUGUGACAAGAUGAUGAAGUUGUUUUCUUUAUGCCAUGAUUUGUAUUUCUUCUUUUGUAAGGUUUGGAUAUCUACCUGCUUUUUGUGACUCUCUAAAAUUUUACUUGAGAAAUGGAGGUACAUAUAAUGAUAACCUAGCCUAGCAUAUUGUUAAAUUAAAAAUAAGAAACAAUAAAUCUAUAGUCUAUUCGA